rnacentral:rRNA from 1 species
UACAGAGGGUGCGAGCGUUGUUCGGAAUUAUUGGGCGUAAAGCGCAUGUAGGCGGCGAGGAAAGUCGGGUGUGAAAUCCCUCAGCUUAACUGAGGAAGUGCGCUCGAAACUCCCUUGCUGGAGUGCCGGAGAGGGUGGCGGAAUUCCCGGUGUAGAGGUGAAAUUCGUAGAUAUCGGGAGGAACACCAGUGGCGAGGGCGGCCACCUGGACGGACACUGACGCUGAGAUGCGAAAGCGUGGGGAGCAAAC